UCUGUGAUGCCCUUAGAUGUUCUGGGUCGCACGCGCGCUACACUGAUCAAGUCAACGAGUUUACAACCUUGGCCGGAAGGUCUGGGUAGUCUUUUGAAACUUGAUCGUGCUGGGGAUAGUCCAUUGCAAUUAUUGGACUUCAACGAGGAAUUCCUAGUAAGCGUGAGUCAUCAGCUCGCGUUGAUUACGUCCCUGCCCUUUGUACACACCGC
rnacentral:rRNA from 1 species